UUGUAUGACUAGAAUGUCGAGUUGCUUUUUUUUUUUUUUAACAAAGCUCGGCCUCGCGGUUGUUUGGUUGUUUCCACCCGGAUUAUUUUUUCCCAGGUUCCCGGAAGUUCACGGUCUGUACGUUGUGUUCGUUCUCAAUGAAGAUGGCGGCGCCCAUGCCUGUGGGAGCGUUUCUUCUUUCGGAGGUGCAGGAGGACUCUCUGUACCGGGAUGAGGGGCUCUGUGUGCUGGGCAUUUUCGGGAAGAGCUCCCUGCAGCCCGGCUCGGCGAAGGAGUCACUCAUCAACACGCUGGCGGACAAGCACGUCUUCCCGCUGUUCGGGGCAGAGCAGGACGAAGAGACGCCGGACGGAGGCAGUUUGAUCCGGGCUUACUACAGCCAGGAGAGCCGCGUCCUGUACCUCCUCCUCACCUCCGUCUGCGAUAACAGGGAGCUACUGCGGGCUUGUGAGGCACUGGAGGCUGGCAUCAGCCACGCCGAAGCACACGAGGUUUGGAAGGGCGCGGAGAGGCAGCAGUGCCUGCACCUGCUCUACCUGUUCUCCCUGUGCCACGUCCUGCUGCUCGUACACCCCACCUGCUCCUUCGAUGUCACCUACGACCGGCUUUUCCGCGCUCUGGACGCGCUCAGACAGAAGGCUCUGCCCCUGCUGCGGGCGGCAAUCAAGGACUGCCCCGUCUCCAAGGAGUGGAAGUUGAACUGCCGACCCUGCCCUCCGCGGCUGCUCUUUGUCUUCCAGCUGAACGGCGCCCUCAAAGUGAGCAGCGGCGGAGCUGGCAUGGGCACAGCGAGUGCAGAGGCCCCCGGUGGAAACCCGGAGAAGCCGAAAAAGCACUCCCCACGGCGGCGGCUCCAGCACGCACUUGAGGACCAGAUUUACCGCAUCUUCCGCAAGAGCCGCGUCCUCACCAACCAGAGCAUCAACUGCCUGUUCACGGUGCCCGCAAACCAGGCUUUUGUGUACGUGGUGCCCGGCCCAGAAGACCCGGUUGGUGCCCUCCUGGGGCAACUGAGAGCCAACUGCGCCCUGCGGGAGAACGAGUCCCCCGGGCUCAUGACGGGGCCGCGGCGCUACCAGCAGCUGCGCCACUCCCCCCGCCAGCCUUCCUUCAAUGUGGAGAGCAGCAGCCUGACCUCCGCGGGGGGCGGCCAGCUGGUGGACUGCACCCUGAAAGAGUUCCUGUGGCAGCACGUGGAGCUGGUCCUGACCAAGAAGGGCUUCGAUGACAGCGUGGGUCGCAACCCCCAGCCUUCCCACUUUGAGCUGCCCACCUACACCAAGUGGGCGCAGGUGGCCUCCCGGCUGUACCAGGUGAUGCUGUCCGGGAAGGAGGAGGACUCUGCAGAGCUGGCUCUCAAGGUGCAGGGGCAGCUCAAAGUGCUGGAAGGCUUCCUGGACGCAGACGCCAAGUUCUCCGAGAGCCGCUGUCAGAAGGCUCUGCCGCUCGCCCACAGCGCGUACCAGUCCAGCCUGCCUCACAACUACACCACCACGGUGCACAAGAACCAGCUGGCCCAGGCGCUGCGCGUGUACAGCCAGCACGCCCGCGGAGUCGCCUUCCAGAGGUGCGCGCUGCAGCUGCAUGACGACUGCUACAAGUUCUGGAGCAACGGGCACCAGCUGUGCGAGGAGCGGAGCCUGACAGACCAGCACUGCAUGCACAAGUUCCACCUGCUCCCCAAAACAGGGGAGAAGCCAGAGAUGGAUCGCAACCCGCCUGUACUCCACCACAACAGCAGGGGGCGCUCCACCAGCUCCUGUAACUGCGGCCGUAAGCAGGCGCCCCGCGACGACCCCUUCGACAUCAAGGCAGCGAACUACGACUUCUACCAGCUGCUGGAAGAGAAGUGCUGUUCCAAACUGGAGCACACCCAUUUCCCCGUGUUCCAGCCCAGCACCCCAGACCCGGCCCCUGCCUGCAACGACCCCCCAGGCCCCCCGGACACAGGGGGAGAAGCGGAGGGAGAGCAGCUCAAGGACAAGGAGGAGGCUGCGGGGCACACCCCUGGGGAGAGCACCAGCCUGAGCCUGGCACUCAGCCUGGGCCAGUCCACUGAUAGCCUGGGGCCCUACGGGGGAGGCGACGGGGCGGAGGGCCAGGAGAAGAGGCCCAGUCUGGUGGACAGACAGCCCUCCACAGUGGAGUACCUCCCGGGCAUGCUGCACUCCGGCUGCCCUAAGGGGCUCCUGCCUACCUUCUCAAGCUGGUCUCUGGUCAAGCUGGGCCCCGCCAAAGCCUACAACUGCCACAGCGGCCUUGACCAGCCCGGCUUCCUCCCCGGCUCCGCCUUCCUGCUGCCCUGGGACAUUGUGAUUCGCUGCCGGGCUGAAGAGGAGGUGGGGCAGGCCGAGCCCCUUGAUGCAGGCCCCUCCUCCUGGCCCGCCCCCAACAAAGCGCUGCCUGGGAAGAGGGGUGGGGCUGGGGGCCAGGCCAGAGGGCGUCGCCGAGACGACGUGGCCAGGGCUUUCGUGGGGUUUGAGUAUGAAGAUGGGCGUGGCCGGAGGUUCAUGAGCUCGGGGCCCGACAAGGUGGUGAAGGUGCUGGGCCCUGGGGGCCCCAAGGAGCCAGCUGGGCGAGUGCUGAGCUCCGACAUGCCCCUGUACAUCCCCUCGCCCGCGCAGGGCCGGGGCCUCAAGCCACACUACGCACAGCUGGCUCGGCUCUACAUCGUAGUGCCUGACGCACCCCUGGAGAUCAUCCUCACUCCACAGGUCCAGCCAGGGCCUCCCCCCUGCCCCAUCUUUCACCCCGAGCGGGCGGAGAUCGUGCUGCCCCCCGACGGGCUGUGGGUGCUGCGCUUCCCCUACGCUUAUGUGACGGAGCGCGGGCCCUGCUACCCGCCCAAGGAGAACCAGCCGCUGGCCAGCUACCGCGCCCUGAGAGGCAUUCUGCGCGCCAGCACUGCCAACCCGGCCCCACCACCAGUGCAGCAACAGUGAUGCUUCCGGACACCACAGUGACAUCUCAGCACCACCAGGGGGAGCUGCUGGGAGAGAACGUACUUGAGGAAGCAAACCCAGCUGGUUCCCGAACCCUCCUCCUCCUCUCCCCGGCUGCAGUGUAUCUUGCAGACUCAAGCCAGUUCACUGUUUUGAUUGGCUGAUCUGUGAUCCCCCCCCCAGGGUUCCUUGCCGUAAUCUCAGUGCUUUGCAUGCGUGUAGUUGGUCACCUGGGUGUACCAAUGAUGUGGAAGAUCAUACCGUGCUGCACGCGUGUGCAAAGCAGUGACAUUGCAGCAUGGGUCUUUGGAAAUUGGCAGAAUGGGGAACCAGUCAAAACCCUGAACUGGUUAGGAGCUGCAGACUUCUCUGUGUAGCCUGUGGAAGCAGUCAGGAAAUAAAUAGACCCCCCACCCCCCACAAGAAUUCUCAGGGGAGUCACUGGGUGGAGGUGGGGCCUGACUGAGGUAACAUUUCUGGACUGUUUUUCUCUUUACCCCCCUUCCCCUUGCUGGGGCUUCUUCAACCCUUGGCUCUACUAAGAAGAAAUGAAAGCAUUAAGGCUGUCCUGUUUUUAAUGUCUUCUGUCGUUAUGAAGACAUCAUUGUGCAAAUGUAUUACAAAACCCCAUUGCCUUGAUUUGUUGUGCAUAUGAAAUCAAACCACCGGAACUGAAAACUUUCAAAAUAGGCAAAUUAGUGAUUGCCUAAUUGAUGACUGCAAUAGGCCACACAUGCAAUUCAUUUAUUAUUAUUAUUAAUUUAUUUAGCAGACGCCUUUAUCCAAGGUGACUUACAGAGUCUAGGGUGUGUGAACGAUGCAUCAGCUGCAGUGUCACUUACAACUACAUAUCACCUGAAAGACGGAGCACAAGGAGGUUAAGUGACUUGCUCAGGGUCACACAAUGAGUCAGUGGCUGAGCCGGGAUUUGAACCGGGCCCGCCUGGUUACAAGCCUAUUUCUUUAACCACUGGACCACACAGCCUCGUUUACUCCAUUUAAAUAGUAAAAGAAAAUGAACACAUAACCUAAAAAUGUUAAAAUGCAGGAGACUAGAAGUUGUUAAAGAUGCCUAAUUAAAGCACAAAGUGGUGUAACAUUUUCACACACGGGUGCCUAUUGUUUCUAUAUCGCUGAUUGCUGAGCGGAAACUGAAAUUCUCACCCCCAGAGGUUUUCAUGCAGAAUAUAAAUAGCACACUAGAAUGGAAAUCCGAUUGGAUCGGUACAGUACCGGCUGCCUUCCUGUGGGACCGGAUCCUCAUAACGUUAUAGUGUGGACCCAAUUCUGAAAUCCACUCUGUCCAGAGAAGGCUGACAGUGACUGGGCUUUGCUGUGAUAUAAAUAACACGUCAAAAACAAGUAUUUUAAACAAACUUCACGCUCUUCUAAGACAUUUUAAUAGAAUCUGAAGCACAUAGUACUACC